UGGGGAAUAUUGGACAAUGGGCGAAAGCCUGAUCCAGCCAUGCCGCGUGUGUGAAGAAGGUCUUCGGAUUGUAAAGCACUUUAAGUUGGGAGGAAGGGCAUUAACCUAAUACGUUAGUGUUUUGACGUUACCGACAGAAUAAGCACCGGCUAACUCUGUGCCAGCAGCCGCGGUAAUACAGAGGGUGCAAGCGUUAAUCGGAAUUACUGGGCGUAAAGCGCGCGUAGGUGGGCUGUUAAGUUGGAUGUGAAAUCCCCGGGCUCAACCUGGGAACUGCAUUCAAAACUGACUGACUAGAGUAUGGUAGAGGGUGGUGGAAUUUCCUGUGUAGCGGUGAAAUGCGUAGAUAUAGGAAGGAACACCAGUGGCGAAGGCGACCACCUGGACUAAUACUGACACUGAGGUGCGAAAGCGUGGGGAGCAAACA
rnacentral:rRNA from 1 species